rnacentral:lncRNA from 1 species
GGUUAAAAAGUCAGAUCCCGACUGCGAGUCGACUCCACUGAGUCGCGAGUCGACUCGACCUCGAGUCGACUCCAGAAUAUGCGCGAGUCGACUCCCCCUUAGGAGCCGGCUCUGAAACUUACUCGAUUCGUCUCUAACUUUGGCACGCACCUAAAACUCAUGCUAUAAUCGUGCCGAAUGACGGAAAAUCACUUAAUUAAGAUCUGAUUUGAUGAUCAUUGGACAGAAACUCUAUUUUUAACCACAUUGUAAUCAUCAAAAUCAAUGUAUCUAGUGGAACCACUAGGAUGGAUCAAUCACUCCUAAUCCCCU